GAGCUGGGAAUCAAACCCGGUUCCUCCAGAUUAGAUACACGAGCUCUUAACCUCCUACACCAUUGCUGCUCUUUUUUAGUCAGAAAUAGGUAUGUGUGAACUGCUUCGGAGCCCCAGUAACUCACUCACUGCCUGUUCCCUUUAAUGCCAAGGAUUGAACCUGGAAUCUUCUGCAUGCAAAGCUGAUACUCUUAUCACUGAGCCAUGUCCCCUUCUUAAGUAGUAUAAACUAAUUUUUAUA